rnacentral:rRNA from 1 species
CAGGAUGGACCCGCGUCUGAUUAGCUAGUUGGUAAGGUAACGGCUUACCAAGGCGACGAUCAGUAGCCGACCUGAGAGGGUGAUCGGCCACAUUGGAACUGAGACACGGUCCAAACUCCUACGGGAGGCAGCAGUGGGGAAUAUUGCACAAUGGGCGAAAGCCUGAUGCAGCAACGCCGCGUGAGUGAUGAAGGCCUUCGGGUCGUAAAACUCUGUCCUCAAGGAAGAUAAUGACGGUACUUGAGGAGGAAGCCCCGGCUAACUACGUGCCAGCAGCCGCGGUAAUACGUAGGGGGCUAGCGUUAUCCGGAUUUACUGGGCGUAAAGGGUGCGUAGGCGGUCUUUCAAGUCAGGAGUGAAAGGCUACGGCUCAACCGUAGUAAGCUCUUGAAACUGGGAGACUUGAGUGCAGGAGAGGAGAGUGGAAUUCCUAGUGUAGCGGUGAAAUGCGUAGAUAUUAGGAGGAACACCAGUUGCGAAGGCGGCUCUCUGGACUGUAACUGACGCUGAGGCACGAAAGCGU